rnacentral:lncRNA from 1 species
AAUGUGAGAAACUAGACCACUAGGCCAAGCCUAGGGUCCAAAAGGGAGAAAAAAUUCUAAACAGCAAGCAAUUCUCAACCAAAACCAAAUUAAUGCAAAUAGAAAGCAAAUGCAAUUGAUCCCAUACUCAUAUCAUUCAUCAUAUUCAUUUCAUGACCAAAACAAGUCAAACUAGGUCAAAUGCAACAUCCAAUGUCCAAACAGAAUGAAUUCCAUCAAAAGCAUACCAAAAUAAUUCCAAAAAUCCUCAAAUAAUUCACACCUAAACAGGACAUAUUCAAGGUAUAGCAUGUCAAUUUUCAGCUCAAUUGGACAAAAGGAACUAGGUCAAUGAAAAUCAAG